AGCGCACUAGAGUCGGGACACCUAGUAGUAGCCUAGCUAGUACAUUGGUAUUGAAGCAUUGGAUUGGAAACUAAGGACUUAAAAAUAAACCAAACAGAUGGGCACCACAAAGUUUUCACAAAUUUCCACUGGGAGAUCCAAAAAGGAACCGUGGCUUCUUGCUGCUGGCUUGGACAUCAAGGCGGAGACUCAACUCAAGUGGCGAAUUUGUAGUGAUCAUUUUAGACCAGACGACUUUGAAAACCCCCGCAAUCUAAAGGACCACAACUCACUGACAACAAAUGCGGUUCCAUCCGUCUUUCCAGAUGCACCAACAGCUACUGAUGAACAGAAAACACACGGCAGCUCUUCAGGACUCCAGUUGAGACAGCAGCUUGUUUCUUUCUCCAGAAAGUAGGCCAUACAUUACAAGGCUUGAGAGAUAGAAGAUGACUGCCAGGGGGAGCCAGGCAUUGUGACAAUGACAAUGCUAUAACAAUUAUUUAUUAUAAAUACAUAAUUUAACUGUAAU